UACGAGUGCCCCAAGCGUUAUCCGGAAUUAUUGGGCGUAAAGGGUGUGUAGGCGGCCUGGUUAGUCUCUUGUUAAAGCUCCCGGCUCAACCGGGAAAGUGCAAGGGAAACGGCCAUUGCUAGAGGAUGUGAGAGGUGAAUGGAACUCAUGGUGUAGGGGUGAAAUCCGUUGAUAUCAUGGGGAACACCAAAAGCGAAGGCAAUUCACUGGCACAUUCCUGACGCUGAGACACGAAAGCGUGGGUAGCGAAUGGG
rnacentral:rRNA from 1 species